rnacentral:rRNA from 1 species
UACAGAGGGCCCAAGCGUUGCUCGGAUUCACUGGGCGUAAAGGGUGCGUAGGUGGCAGUGUAAGUCUGAUGUGAAAGCUUCGAGCUUAACUCGAAAAUGGCAUUGGAUACUAUAUUGCUGGAGGUUUGGAGGGGGGACUGGAAUUCUCGGUGUAGCAGUGAAAUGCGUAGAUAUCGAGAGGAACACCGGUGGCGAAGGCGAGUCCCUGGACAACACCUGACACUGAGGCACGAAAGCUAGGGGAGCAAACAGG